rnacentral:rRNA from 1 species
AGCGGAAACGAGUUAUCUGAACCUUCGGGGGACGAUAACGGCGUCGAGCGGCGGACGGGUGAGUAAUGCCUAGGAAAUUGCCCUGAUGUGGGGGAUAACCAUUGGAAACGAUGGCUAAUACCGCAUAAUGCCUACGGGCCAAAGAGGGGGACCUUCGGGCCUCUCGCGUCAGGAUAUGCCUAGGUGGGAUUAGCUAGUUGGUGAGGUAAUGGCUCACCAAGGCGACGAUCCCUAGCUGGUCUGAGAGGAUGAUCAGCCACACUGGAACUGAGACACGGUCCAGACUCCUACGGGAGGCAGCAGUGGGGAAUAUUGCACAAUGGGCGCAAGCCUGAUGCAGCCAUGCCGCGUGUGUGAAGAAGCCUUCGGGUUGUAAAGCACUUUCAGUCGUGAGGAAGGUAGUGUAGUUAAUAGCUGCAUUAUUUGACGUUA